AUUGAACGCUGGCGGCAGGCCUAACACAUGCAAGUCGAACGGUAACAGGAAGAAGCUUGCUUCUUUGCUGACGAGUGGCGGACGGGUGAGUAAUGUCUGGGAAACUGCCUGAUGGAGGGGGAUAACUACUGGAAACGGUAGCUAAUAUCGCAUAACGUCGCAAGACCAAAGAGGGGGACCUUCGGGCCUCUUGCCAUCGGAUGUGCCCAGAUGGGAUUAGCUAGUAGGUGGGGUAACGGCUCACCUAGGCGACGAUCCCUAGCUGGUCUGAGAGGAUGACCAGCCACAUUGGAACUGAGACACGGUCCAGACUCCUACGGGAGGCAGCAGUGGGGAAUAUUGCACAAUGGGCGCAAGCCUGAUGCAGCCAUGCCGCGUGUAUGAAGAAGGCCUUCGGGUUGUAAAGUACUUUCAGCGGGGAGGAAGGGAGUAAAGUUAAUACCUUUGCUCAUUGACGUUACCCGCAGAAGAAGCACCGGCUAACUCCGUG
rnacentral:rRNA from 1 species